rnacentral:lncRNA from 1 species
UUGGCGGCCCGGCCUUCGGGAAGUUAUUUUUUGGCGCGGCUUUGCACACGUCCUAUUUUUGGCACACGGAGCCCCUCACAAAGUCUCGCGGUAUUCCGAGUCCGGCGGACGAAGUUGGCCAGCCCCACCCCCCAAGGCUAUAGCCCACCCGUUUUUGUGGCCUUUUUCCGCUGGACGAACUUGGCGCCCCCACCUUCGGGAAGUUAUUUUUGGGCGCGGCUUUGCACACGGCCUAUUUUUGGCACACGGAGCCCCUCGCAAAGUCUCGCGGCAUUCCGAGUCCGGCGGACGAAGUUGGCCAGCCCCACCCCCCAAGGCUAUAGCCCACCCGUUUUUGUGGCCUUUUUCCGCUGGACGAACUUGGUGCCUCGGCCUUCGGGCGGUUAUUUUUGGGUGCGGCUUUGCCCGCGGCCUAUUUUUGGCUCACGGAGGCCCCUCGCAAAGUCUCGCGGCAUUCCGAGUCCGGCGGACGAAGUCGGCCAGCCCCACCCCCCAAGGCUAUAGCCCACCCGUUUUUAUGGCCUUUUUCCGCUGGACGAACUUGGCGCCCCGGCCUUCGGACGGUUAUUUUUGGGUGCGGCUUCAACCGCGGCCUAUUUUUGGCUCACGGAGGUCCCUAACAAAGUCUCGCGGCAUUCCGAGUCCGGCGGACGAAGUUGGCGAGCCCCACCCCCCAAGGCUAUAGCCCACCCGUUUUUGUGGCCUUUUUCCGCUGGACGAACUUGGCGCCCCGGCCUUCGGGCGGUUAUUUUUGGGAGCGGCUUUGUCCGUGGCCUAGUUUUGGCUUACGGAGGCCCCUCACAAAGUCUCGAGGCAUUCGGAGUCGUGCGGACAAAGUAGACCAGCCCCACCCCCCAAGGCUAUAGCCCACCCGUUUUUCUGGCCUUUUUCCGCUGGACGAACUUGGCCCCCGGCCUUUGGGCGGUUAUUUUUGUGUACGGAUUUGCCCGCGGCCUAUUCUUGGCUCAAGGAGGCCCCUCGCAAUGGUUCGCGGUAUUCCGAGUCGGGCGGACAAAGUAGACCAGCCCCACCCCCCAAGGCUAUAGCCCACCCGUUUUUGUGGCCUUUUUCCGCUGGACGAACUUGGCGCCCCGGCCUUCGGGCGGUUAUUUUUGGGAGCGGCUUUGCCCGUAGCCUAUUUUUGGUACACGGAGGCCCCUCGCAAAGUCUCGCGGCAUUCCGUGUCUGGCGGACGAAGUGGGCCCACCCCACCCCCCAAGGCUAUAGCCCACCCGUUUUUGUGGCCUUUUUCCGCUGGACGAACUUGGCGGCCCGGCCUUCGGGAAGUUAUUUUUUGGCGCGGCUUUGCACACGUCCUAUUUUUGGCACACGGAGCCCCUCACAAAGUCUCGCGGUAUUCCGAGUCCGGCGGACGAAGUUGGCCAGCCCCACCCCCCAAGGCUAUAGCCCACCCGUUUUUGUGGCCUUUUUCCGCUGGACGAACUUGGCGCCCCCACCUUCGGGAAGUUAUUUUUGGGCGCGGCUUUGCACACGGCCUAUUUUUGGCACACGGAGCCCCUCGCAAAGUCUCGCGGCAUUCCGAGUCCGGCGGACGAAGUUGGCCAGCCCCACNNNNNNNNNNNNNNNNNNNNNNNNNNNNNNNNNNNNNNNNNNNNNNNNNNNNNNNNNNNNNNNNNNNNNNNNNNNNNNNNNNNNNNNNNNNNNNNNNNNNGGGCGCGGCUCUGCCCGCGGCCUAUUUUUGGCACACGGAGGCCGCUAGCAAAGUCUCCCGGCAUUCCGAGUCCGGCGGACGAAGUGGGCCAGCGCCACCCCCCAAGGCUAUAGCCCACCCGUUUUUGUGGCCUUUUUGCACUGGACGAACUUGGCGCCCCGGCCUUCGGGUGGUUAUUUUUGGGCGCGGCUUUGCCCGAGGUCUAUUUUUGGCACACGGAGGCCCCUCGAAAAGUCUCGCGGCAUUCCGAGUCCGGCGGAUGAAGUUGGCCAGCCCCACCCCCCGAGGCUAUAGCCCACCCGUUUUUGUGGCCUUUUUCCGCUGGACGAACUUGGCGCCCCGGCCUUCGGGCGGUUAUUUUUGGGCGCGGCUUUGCCCGUGGCCUAUUUUUGGCACACGGAGGCCCCUCGCAAAGUCUCGCGGCAGUCCGAGUCCGGCGGACGAAGUUGGCCAGCCCCACCCCCCAAGGCUAUAGCCCACCUGUUUUUGUGGCCUUUUUCCGCUGGACGAACUAGGCGCCCCGGCCUUCGGGCGGUUAUUUUUGGGCGCGGCUCUGCCCACGGCCUAUUUUUGGCACACGGAGGCCCCUCGCAAAGUCUCGCGGCAUUCCGAGUCCGGCGGACGAAGUUGGCCAGCCCCACCACCCAAGGCUAUAGCCCACCCGUUUUUGUGGCUUUUUUCCGCUGGACGCACUUGGCGCCCCGGACUUCGGGCGUUUAAUUUUGGGUGCCUCAUUGCCCGCGGCCUAUUUUUGGCACACGGAGGCCCCUCGCAAUGUCUCGCGGCAUUCCGAGUCCGGCGGACGAAGUGGGCCAGCCCCACCGCCCAAGGCUAUAGCCCACCCGUUUUUGUGGCCUUUUUCCGCUGGACGAACUUGGCGCCCCGGCCUUCGGGCGGUUAUUUUCUGGCCGGCUUUGACCGCGGCCUAUUUUUGGCACACGGAGGCCCCUCGCAAAGUCUCGCGGCAUUCCGAGUCCGGCGGAUGAAGUUGGCCAGCCCCACCCCCAAGGCUAUAGCCCACCCGUUUUUGUGGCCUUUUUCCGAUGGACGAACUUGGCGCCCCGGCCUUCGGCUGGUUAUUUUUGAGCGCGGCUGUACCCGCGGCCUAUUUUUGGCACAUGGAGGCGCCUCGCAAAGUCUCGCGCCAUUCCGAGUCCGGCGGACGAAGUCGGCCAGCCCCACCCCCCAAGGCUAUAGCCCACCCGUUUUUGCGGCCUUUUUCCGCUGGACGAACUUGGCGCCCCGGCCUUCGGGUGGUUAUUUUUGUGCGCGGCUGUGCCCACGGCCUAGUUUUGGCACACGGAGGUGCCUCGCAAAGUCUCGCGCCAUUCCGAGUCCGGCGGACGAAGUUGGCCAGCCACACCCCCCAAGGCUAUAGCCCACCCGUUUUUGUGGCCUUUUUCUGAUGGACG